CCGAGGGUGGGGGCAUGUGGCUCCCCCGCCAGGGAGCCUGCAGCGUGGCUCACGGCACUUUUGUCGUUUUUGUGUGCUUCUCCAGUUCCAAAAAAUACCUUUCCCUUUUGAAAAUACUUUUUUUUUUUUUUUUUUUUUUUGAAGCCACAGUUCACUGGUGUUGGCGGAUUUAAAAUACUUGCCUGGGGUCGCAACACAGGUUAAGGCCAUAUCCGAGAUGAGAAUCAGAAGCGCACGCGUCUGCAGGUUCAACUGGCUCCUUGGGCCAGUGGAGGGAUGGAGGCAGCUGCUCAACUUUUAACAGGCAGCCGCAACCAGACACACAACAAUUCAGAGCUGUUCAGAGGGAGCCCUAAUUGCACAGAAAUGCUGACGGGGUGAGCUGGUCGUGUUCUAAGCAGGGAUUUGGAGGCAAAAAGCGGCAACAUUUGACUCACAGUAAGUGGCAGAGAAGAUGCCAAAAUCCAGUUCCUGGACACUCAGGAGGUGCUCUUUUACACCGUCUCCCCGUGAAAUUUUGCACUGGGACCACCCAGGGCUUCCCUCCAGUAGGCUCCCUCCUGGUUCAUUUUACAUCAACUACUGGAAACACAUCUGUUUGGAAAUGAAGUCUCUACUGAACUGCAUGAAGCCAUUUA